GACGAACGCUGGCGGCGUGCCUAAUACAUGCAAGUAGAGCGCUGAAGGGUGGUACUUGUACCAACUGGAUGAGCAGCGAACGGGUGAGUAACGCGUGGGGAAUCUGCCUUUUAGCGGGGGACAACUUUUGGAAACGAAAGCUAAUACCGCAUAAAAACUUAUAACACAAGUUUUAUAUUUGAAAGAGGCAAUUGCAUCACUACAAGAUGAACCUGCGUUGUAUUAGCUAGUAGGUGAGGUAAAGGCUCACCAAGGCGACGAUACAUAGCCGACCUGAGAGGGCGAGCGGCCACACUGGGACUGAGAGAAGCGCAAGACGCCUACGGGAGGCAGCAGUAGGGAAUCUUCGGCAAUGGGGGCAAGCCUGACCGAGCAACGCGGCGUGAGGGAAGAAGGUUUUCGGAUCGUAAAGCUCUGUUGGAAGUCAAGAACGGGUGUGAGAGUGGAAAGUUCACACUGUGACGGUAGCUUACCAGAAAGGGACGGCUAACUACGUG
rnacentral:rRNA from 1 species